UACGUAGGGUGCAAGCGUUGUCCGGAAUUAUUGGGCGUAAAGAGCUCGUAGGCGGUCUGUCGCGUCGGCUGUGAAAACCCGUGGCUCAACCCCGGGCCUGCAGUCGAUACGGGCAGACUAGAGUGCGGUAGGGGAGACUGGAAUUCCUGGUGUAGCGGUGAAAUGCGCAGAUAUCAGGAGGAACACCGGCGGCGAAGGCGGGUCUCUGGGCCGUAACUGACGCUGAGGAGCGAAAGCGUGGGGAGCGAACAGG
rnacentral:rRNA from 1 species